AUACCCCGUGCUACCAGAAUGGCUGUCUCAGUACUUCGCCUGACAGUUGUCCUGGGACUGCUUGUCUUAAUCCUGACCUGCUAUGCAGAUGACAAACCAGACAAGACAGACAACAAGCCAGACGACUCGGGCAAAGACCCAAAGCCAGACUUCCCCAAAUUCCUAAGCCUCCUGGGCACAGAGAUCAUUGAGAAUGCAGUCGAGUUCAUCCUCCGCUCCAUGUCCAGGAGCACAGGAUUUAUGGAAUUUGAUGAUAGCGAAGGAAAACAUUCAUCAAAGUGACAUCCUCAGGUGAUUUUUCACUUAAAAUUUACAACUGAAAUAAUAGUGUAUUGGACAAAGGAAAAAGAGUCUGUCUAGUUUUAUUUAAUAAUUUUGGUUACCCAUGUCUACCUACAAGCAGAAAAAGUACAUUUUUAAAAAUUCUUACUGUAGUUUUUUAAAUUAAUUUUAAAUGAAUGUAUUUUUAUCAUGUACAAGUUUCUAAUAAUAAAAUUUUCUUAAGAGAGGAGGUACAACUGUGAGAUGAAGUGAAUAAGGAUGGCAAGUUUGGAGACAUGGUUCCUGUCACAAAUCUGUUAGGAACUUGCUUUGUACAAGUUCAGCCUGUGAAAUGAGGGACUAGCACGCACUAACAAUCUAAGGACCCACGUAAUCAUGCAGUUAGUUACUCAUGAGAAGAGUGAAAUUUGCUGAACCUAAUUCAAAGAGAAAGGAUAACAAACUUUCUAUCUCAUGCAGUUAGAUAUAUGGGCAAACAAUAUAGUUUGAGUGCUCAGAAAUACUUGCUUUUUCCCUACUCGGGUCUCUCCUGAAAAUGCAUAUUGAAAUACAAAAACAAAAGUGUUAGAUCUGGAAAAGUAGUAAUAUUAGUAGCUGGUAUGAACUGUGUUCUUACUCUGUUUUAGGCAUCAAGCUAAGUGAUUAAUGACUAAGUGCUUUGUAGUAUUUAAUUCAUAAUCACUAUGCACAAUAGAUAUUAUUAUUCUUAAAUUUUAUAAAUAAGGAAAUAAAGGCCCAGGGAGGUUUGCUAAUGUGGCUAUAUUAAUAAAGGAGGAAGACAGAAUUUGAAUUCAAGCAGCCUGAUUCCAAGGCCUGUGCUGUAUCUCUAAGCCAUAGUGCUACUGGAAACAGAGCAGAAUAGUAUAGGAGAAGGCAGUGGAGAAUAAUGAUUAAGCUAAGUAAUCUAAGUCAUACCUCAAGAUGUUCAUAGAAAUACAACACUACCCCUUUGCUUAGUUGAGUUACUUUAUCUGCAUAUUCAGGAAGCAUGGCCUUUCCCAGCUUCUGUUUGUGAUCUUGUCUGGAAAUGCUCCUUUUCCCCAUUGGCUCCAUUUCAUAAUCCAGGUAUGAUUAAUGUAAGUUCAGAAAGUUACUAUUAUAUUUCCCCGGAACUUAGCCCACCCAUUCCCAUAUGCCUCUAAGGAUGAGAAUCAGGCUUGAGCAUUGAAAUCAAAACAUGCCCAACCCAGACUCUCCUGACUCUUACCCUAAGGCCAAUUAAGCUUUUAAACUCAGUCACUUAUGUUUGUAUAUUUUCAUUCCCAUCUUCUCCGAGAACAGCCUACCUCUUCUUGCAGGUGUCCUAAUACUUUGCCUUCAUUCCAGCUUCUGGUACACACCUAUAGUUUUUGGUACCCACACCCCAAAUCCUUGGAGUACAUCCUACAGGUCUGGUCUAUGAUGUAGUCUAAUAGCCAAGGCCACAUGGAGGAGCAGAAAGAGCAGAAGACAUAGACAAGAUGACACACCCAUGUGGCUCCUGGACAAUCCAAAAGCAGCCAAAUCCUGCUUUUCCAGUUCUGCUUCACAAGUCCUCCAGGACAGAGCCCUCAAAGCAACUCCCAGCGAGUUCUCAGGAUUCAGGCUCUGGCUUCAGCCAAACAGAACUCAUUUUGAACACCCUGACUGCAUUUUUGCUUUUAGAAAGUUAGAAUAAAUAUGGUGCUUUGGGAUCACAUAGUUGAUGGAGAAGAUUUGUGUUGCUAUUAAUAAUUUUUUCUGGCCAUGUUUAAAGUUUUAAUGAUACAAAUAUAUGUAUCUCUUGGUGAAUAUUUAUAUAUUUAUAUAUUCAACAGGAUAACCAAAGAAUGGUUCAAAAUAAGAGGACUAAAGCCCAGAUAAUGUAGCAAGUUCAAAUUCACAGAGCCAAUAAGUGACAGAAACAAGAUUAAAAUCUGACCUCAAAACAAGCUCUCAACUCCUAAAAAUGUAUGCAGUUUCAGAGUUAAAACUUUUACACAUCUUUUUUGGAAAGUAUUUUUAAACUAUCUGAGCCCACUCUCCUACGCUAGUAAACUUAAAAACUGACCUGUUUAAAAUUAAAGAGUCACUAUUUUUCUCACAGAAUAGCAGUGUCAGAGAUGGAAGGGUCAUUGAAAUGUUUAGUUUCAGCCCUUUCAUGCCACCACCUUAUUACACAGAGGUGGAUCCUCUGCAGCCAUGGCUGUGGUUCUUGCCCACUUACCAGAAGUAAAAUGUGACAUAGCAGAGCUAGAAAUACAGUAAUCUCCCAGAAUUGUUUAAUGCGGACAGUAAGACAAGACUGAAAUCUUAUCGUAGAGCAAGAUGGCAGUUAAAGCAGUGCUCUAAUCUAGAAUAAAGUUUCUACGUGCUGCUUCUACUGAGUUCUCAAAAGCUAUCUUGGGUUUUGUCCUUCCCAAACACAUAAACUCUGAAAGUAACUCAAAUGUAUGUUUAAUAAAUCUUUUGUUUGUUUGUCUGUCUUCCUGUUUUUACUUAGCCAGAAGAGGUCUGUAAGCAGCACAAAGAAUUUUAAUAAUAUAGGUAGAUAAACCAAGAGUGAAUGCCUACUAAAUGUUGACAAAUGCAUGUUACUUUCUACAAUAAAUUCAGACAACUCACACUCUGCAUUUUCUAGGGAUUGUGUCAAUUUCAAAUAUCACAUCCCACUUAACUAAAUACUUAGAAUGUCUAUUAUAUUCAGUAUCUGGCACACAAACUGCUUCUCCCCAUCAAAUGUGGCUGCAAAAUCUCUUUUCCGAUAUUGACUCACUGAUUUGUGCCUGGACAACACAUUUACUACAACUAUAUUAAUUAAUACACUACCUAUAUGUGAGAAACACACUCUACCAGAACUUUUCUGCCUUUAUCUUCACCUAUCUGUUGUACAUUUUGAAAUCACUUUUUCAUGUUGAGGGCUGGGAAAGUGCCAUAUUAAUACGGGAUUUGAUAAAUUCCUAACAGGUCACCGACAAGGAUCUCCAAUGAUCUAUAGAGAUUUUGAAGAUUUUGCUUUACAAUGUGUGUUUCCUCUUCCUCCCCUUCAUUGCCUUCUUCCCCUACCCUCCAAGAAGACCCACGUCUUCAGCCAGCAGGUACACCUGUUCUUAAAGAUCAAGAAUCUCUUUCAUCUGCAUAGAAUUUUUCUUUUGCGACUCUUUCCCACUAUCAUCUCCUUGUAACCUCAUAACCGCAAUGUGAUUGAAGUGAAUUAGGGAGGCGUUGUUUUCUGUAUACGACAGGUGAAGAAACUGAGGCUCUGGGAGGCUGAUUGGUAUCAUGCCUAAUAUACCAAAACUGGUAGAGGCUACAUGGGAACUCCAACCAGGUGUGUCUAACUCCCAGCAGGGAAUUCCCCUCUGAUAUGCUGAGGACACAAUCUACGUCAUCACUAUUCUGUCCCAAAUCCCAAACUUUCUAUCAUGACUCAAGUACUUGAGGGAAUUUACACUUGGCUUUUUACAGAAACGCUGAGUAGAUAGAGUAAUUCUAUUUAAAUAAAAUUCAAUUCAGAUUACUUCCUUCUGCCAUUUCCCAUCUCAUUUGAAGCAAACACUACACUUUAAAAUUUCUUUACAAUGGUGUCAAAGAUCCUAUCUGAGCUAUUCACUUCCAUUCCUUUCUCCUACUCAUUAUCUUUCUCUUUUCACUCCAGCCAUAUUGGGAUCCUUGUCAGUCUUUAAACAGUCCAAGUAUGUUCUUUUUAUAGGGCCUUAAAUUUCCUCUUCCUUGUGCCUAAAUUACUCUUUCCCAAGAUGGCCACAUGGCUUGCUCCUUCAUUUAUUAAGGUCUUCUCCUAAAUAUUACCUUCUCAGUGAAGCCUUCGUUGAUCAUUUUAUUUAAAACUGUGUCUUCUGCCCUAAUGUGUCUAUCUUCUUUGGCUGCUUAAUUUUUCCUCCUAUGGAUAUAUUUUUUUUAAUAUAUAUCUUUUAACAGAAUGUUAAAACUUUAUUUAUUUCAUUCCUUUU